rnacentral:rRNA from 1 species
GGACUACAAGGGUAUCUAAUCCUGUUUGCUCCCCACGCUCUCGCGCCUCAGUGUCAGUAUCAGUCCAGGAAGCCGCCUUCGCCACUGGUGUUCCUUCCGAUAUCUACGCAUUUCACCGCUACACCGGAAAUUCCACUUCCCUCUACUGUACUCAAGUCGAAUAGUCUUGGCUGCAAUUCCUAGGUUAAGCCCAGGGAUUUCACAGCCAACUUAUCCAACCACCUACGCGCCCUUUACGCCCAGUAAUUUCGAUUAACGCUCGCACCCUCUGUAUUACCGCGGCUGCUGGCAC